rnacentral:rRNA from 1 species
UAAUACGUAGGAUCCAAGCGUUAUCCGGAAUCAUUGGGCGUAAAGCGUGUGUAGGCGUCCAUAUAAGUUUCUCGUUAAAGCCCGGGGCUCAACUCCGGAAUCGUGAGGAAUACUGUAUGGAUGGAGAUACGGAGAGGCAGACGGAAUUCCUAGUGUAGCAGUGAAAUGCGUAGAUAUUAGGAAGAACACCAAUGGCGAAGGCAGUCUGCUGGCCGUCAUCUGACGCUGAGACACGAAAGCGUGGGGAGCGAACGGGAUUAGAUACCCCGGUAGUCCACGCCGUAAACGAUGCUAACUAGGCAUUGGAGGUAUCGACCCCUUCAGUGUCGAAGCUAACGCGUUAAGUUAGCCGCCUGGGGAGUACGAGCGCAAGCUUA